rnacentral:rRNA from 1 species
UACGGAGGGGGCAAGCGUUAUUCGGAAUCAUUGGGCGUAAAGGGCGCGUAGGCGGCUUCAUAAGUCUUGGGUGAAAGCCCUCGGCUCAACCGAGGAAUUGCCUUGGAUACUGUGAAGCUCGAGGCUGGAAGAGGGCAGUGGAAUUCCCGGUGUAGCGGUGAAAUGCGUAGAGAUCGGGAGGAACACCGGUGGCGAAGGCGGGUCUCUGGGCAAUUCCUGACGCUGAGGCGCGAAAGCGUGGGGAGCAAACGGG